rnacentral:rRNA from 1 species
UACGUAGGUGGCAAGCGUUGUCCGGAUUUAUUGGGUUUAAAGGGUGCGUAGGCGGUCUAUUAAGUCAGCGGUGAAAUACUCCAGCUUAACUGGAGGGGUACCAUUGAUACUGAUGGACUUGAGUCAAGUCGAGGUAGGCGGAAUUGACGGUGUAGCGGUGAAAUGCUUAGAUAUCGUCAAGAACACCAAUAGUGAAGACAGCUUACUGGGCUUAAACUGACGCUGAGGCACGAAAGUGUGGGGAUCAAACAGG